GAACCCUCGCCUUCGUAUCUCGACGUCGUAGUCUUCUCCAUAGUCGUAUAUCUCUUCGUGUAAGGAGAACCACUUGUUCUCGGGGACGUCGAAUGUAUCUUCCAUUUCUAGAGUGGUCGUCGAAGGAAAACUAUACUCGCACAUGGAACCACCAUAAUUCGGUGGACACGAACAAGUGAAACUGUUGAUACCGUCGAUACAGCAGACACACCGCUCCAUUUUGGCAAGGGUUCUCCUUGCAAGGCACGAUUGCCUUGUCACAGUCCUUGCCAGUAAAACCUUUGAUAGAGACAAGAAUUAAUUAACAUGAAAGUUAGGAAAAUUAAAAAAAUCUACGACUCGUGGACAAGAAUAAUCCGCUUACCGAAUAAACAAGCGCAAGUAUAGGAAGAUGGAAUAUUGAUGCAGAGACCACCGUUUCGACAUGGCGAUUCCAAACAUUCGUCGAUAUCCAUUUCGCAGAGGACACCAGUCCAUCCUUUUCGAAUUGUAGUACAUGAAAAGAAGAAAACGCCAUAUCGCGAUAAAAAAAUGUGAAGAAGCAAAAUAUUCUUUAAGCACACCGAGGCGUCAAUUUCGCAAUAUUCUCCUGAAAAUAGGAUAUCAAAAUGAUAUAGAAAUUCUUUUUAUACAUUUGUCAUCACGUUGUACCUGAAUAUCCAUCGAGG
rnacentral:lncRNA from 13 species